CAUUACAGAGUUGCAAAACUCCCUAAACCCUUGUGAACAUACCUGUAUGUCGUUGCUUCGGCGAGCAGCCCCUGGGAGGGGACUUGCCUCCUCGUGAGGUGUUCGCCGGAGGACCAUCAAAACUAUUGUAAUAAAUGGCCUCUAUGAGAAAACUUUUUAAAUAAGUAAAAACUUUCAACAACGGAUCUCUUGGUUCUGGCAUCGAUGAAGAACGCAGCGAAAUGCGAUAAGUAAUGUGAAUUGCAGAAUUCAGUGAAUCAUCGAAUCUUUGAACGCACAUUGCGCCCGCCAGUAUUCUGGCGGGCAUGCCUGUUCGAGCGUCAUUUCAACCCUCAAGCACUGCUUGGUGUUGGGGCAUUGCGGCCUGCCGCAAGCCCUGAAAAAUAGUGGCGGGCUCGCCGUAACUCCGAGCGCAGUAAUUUAUCUCGCUUUGGAAGAGUGGUGGGUGCUAGCCGUUAAACCCCCUAUUUUAUAAGGUUGACCUCGGAUCAGGUAGGAAUACCCGCUGAACUUAAGCAUAUCAAUAAGCGGAGGAAAAGAAACCAACAGGGAUUGCCCCAGUAGCGGCGAGCGAAGCGGCAACAGCUCAAAUUUGAAAUCUGGCUUCGGCCCGAGUUGUAAUUUGUAGAGGAUGCUUUUGGCAAGGCUCUUUCUGAGUCCACUGGAACGUGGCGCCAUAGAGGGUGAGAGCCCCGUAUAGUUGGAAGCCAAGCCUGUGUAAAGCUCCUUCGACGAGUCGAGUAGUUUGGGAAUGCUGCUCUAAAUGGGAGGUAAAUGUCUUCUAAAGCUAAAUACCGGCCAGAGACCGAUAGCGCACAAGUAGAGUGAUCGAAAGAUGAAAAGCACUUUGAAAAGAGGGUUAAAUAGCACGUGAAAUUGUUGAAAGGGAAAGCGCUUAUGACCAGACUUGCGCCGGGUUGAUCAUCCAGUGUUCUCACUGGUGCACUCUUCCCGGUUCAGGCCAGCAUCGGUACUGUUGGGGGCAUAAAGGCAGUGGGAACGUAUCUCUUUCGGGAGUGUUAUAGCCCAUUGUGCAAUACCCCCUACGGGACCGAGGACCGCGCUCG
rnacentral:rRNA from 1 species